UACGGAGGGUGCAAGCGUUAUCCGGAUUCACUGGGUUUAAAGGGUGCGUAGGUGGGUUGGUAAGUCAGUGGUGAAAUCCCCGAGCUUAACUUGGGAACUGCCAUCGAUACUAUCAGUCUUGAAUACUGUGGAGGUCAGCAGAAUAUGUCAUGUAGCGGUGAAAUGCUUAGAUAUGACAUAGAAUACCAAUUGCGAAGGCAGCUGGCUACACAAAUAUUGACACUGAGGCACGAAAGCGUGGGGAUCAAACAGG
rnacentral:rRNA from 1 species